AUGCAUCUCUCCCUGUGGAAGCCGCUCUCCCACUGCGCCGCCAUCCUCCUCUCCAAGAACCACCGGCGGCGUGGCGGAGGAGGAGGAGGCGGCGGCGGCCAUGGCGGCGGCAACGGCCGGCGCGACGACACGGCGUCGUUCCUCCGGCAGCUGCGCGACGCGCUGGACGCCGCGUCGGAGGAGGGCGCCCUCUGCCCGCCGCCGGACGCCGCCGGCGCGGACGAGGACGCCGCCGUCACGCGCUCCCGCUCCCUGGCGCGCCUGCGGGCGCAGCGCGACUUCCUCCGCGCCACCGCGCUCGCCGCCGCCGCCGGCCCGUUCCGCUCCAUCUCCGACCUGCCGCUCCUCGCCCACGCCAUAGCCACCUUCCUCUCCAUGUACCCGGACUACGCCUCCACCUCCGACGUCGACCGCCUCCGCCUCGACCACUACUCCCACCUCGACGCCCCCGGCGCCGGCAGGGUCUGCCUCGACUACUGCGGCUUCGGCCUCUUCGACUCCAGCUGGGACUCCUCCUCCUCCUUCACAUUGUCCGAGCUCAAUGCCAAUCUGAGCAACCACGCGCUCUACGGCGGCGCUGAGCCCGGCACGGCCGAGAAUGACAUCAAGGAGCGGAUCCUGGAGUACUUGAAUGUGCCGGCCAGCGAGUACGCCCUGGUGUUCACUGUCAGCCGGGGGUCAGCGUUCAAGCUGCUCGCUGAGUGCUACCCGUUCGAGAACAACCGAAGGCUGCUCACCAUGUUUGACCAUGAGAGCCAGUCGGUGAACUGGAUGGCGCAGAGUGCGCGGGCAAAGGGUGCCAAGACGCGCACCGCAUGGUUCCGCUGGCCCACUCUCAAGCUCUGCUCGACGGAGCUGCGCAAGGAGAUUGUGGGCAAGAGGAAGGCCAGGCGACGGGAUGCUGCAGUCGGAUUGUUCGUGUUCCCUGCACAGUCUCGGGUGACCGGCGCCAAGUACUCCUACCAGUGGAUGGCGCUGGCACAGCAGAAUGGCUGGCAUGUCAUGCUUGAUGCUGGUGCACUUGGUCCCAAGGACAUGGACUCGCUGGGGCUCUCGCUGUUCCGGCCGGACUUCAUUAUAACCUCAUUCUACAGGGUGUUUGGUUCUGACCCAACUGGAUUUGGUUGCCUUCUGAUCAAGAAGUCGGUUAUUGGAAGCUUGCAGGGGAGGAAUGGCUGCAAUGCCUCUGGGAUGGUCAGGAUUGUUCCGGUCUUUCCACAGUACCUGAGUGACUCCAUCGAUGAAUUUGAUGCAGUGGAAACAGAGGGACUUGAAGAUGACCCUUGCACUCCGAAAGAUGAAAAUCCAGUGCCUGAUGUUCGAAACGGCUCACAGCUGCCAGCAUUUUCGGGUGUGUACACUUCUGCUCAGGUCAGAGAGACAUUUGAGAGUGACCCGGGUCGUGACAGCAGCUCGGAUAGGGAUGGGGCGAGCACCAUUUUUGAAGAAACUGAGAGCAUAUCUGUCGGUGAGGUGAUGAGGAGCCCGGCAUUCAGCGAGGACUGUUCAUCAGAGAACUCUUUCUGGGUUGAUGUUGGCCAGAGCCCGUUGGGGUCAGAGAAGUCUGGUCAGUUCAAGAAAGGGAAACUGGGAUCACCAUUACCAUCAUCUUGGUUCACUGGCAGAAAGGGUAACAAGAGGAUGUCACCUAACCUAGCAUCGAGGAUAUCUAGAAGCCCACUUUAUGAUGGUAAUGUGAUUUCUUUUGAUGCUGCUGUACUGUCAGUUUCACAAGAUGUAGACUGCCUCAGGGAAGACCCUGAAGAAGAAAUCUAUGAGAAUGGCCGGGGAAAUCAUUUUAGGCAAGUUAGUGAAAUCCAAGAGGAGCCAGAGGUUGAAGAGGUUGCAUGCCAACAUGCCAUGAACGGUGAUUUGGACCACAAGGAAAGUGCGAUAAGAAGGGAGACUGAAGGGGAAUUUCGGCUGCUUGGACGGAGGGAUGGAAACAGCAGGUUUGCUGGGGGUCGUCUCUUCGGUGUUGAAGAGAUUGACGGAGCUAUAAGCAUGGGGCGCAGAGUUUCAUUCAACACUGAGGCGAAUAUGAUUGCUGACAGACUACAUCGGGCCUCAGAUGCUGCUGAAGCGUCUGGAUAUCCAUUUCGUGAUGAUGAUGUAAGUGAUGGGUAUGAUGAUGCUCAAGACUGGAGCAGGAGGGAACCAGAGAUAAUUUGCAGGCACAUUGACCAUGUCGAUAUGAUGGGGCUCAACAGAACAACACUUAGGUUAAGGUACCUUAUCAAUUGGCUAGUAACUUCGCUGUUGCAGCUGAAGCUGCCAGGCUUGAAAGACAGUGAUGGAGUUCCUCUUGUCCACAUUUAUGGUCCAAAGAUUAAGUAUGAAAGGGGAGCGGCCGUUGCUUUCAAUCUGAAGCAAAGUGGUGGUGCUUUCAUUAAUGCUGAAUUUGUCCAGAAGAUAGCUGAGAAAAAUGGCAUAUCUCUCGGCAUCGGUUUUCUUAGUCAUAUAAAGAUAGACCCAAACCAGAAACAGUCAAAUGGAGCACUAGAUAUACCCGAGGCUUCCUUUUAUAAGAAUGGUCGCAAAGACAGUAAAAAGGUGACUGUAAGAGUUGAAGUUGUGACUGCUUCGCUUGGCUUCCUCACUAACUUUGAAGAUGUGUACAAGAUGUGGGCAUUUGUUGCCAAGUUCUUAGAUCCUUCAUUCCUGGAAAGUGAGCGUAUUGCCAUAGCUACUGACCAAAUGGAGGCCAUAGCUGCUGAGCACAUGGAAGGGCAAAUUUGA
rnacentral:rRNA from 1 species